GUGGCUUCUUCAGCUACAAGAUAGAAAGGAGGUUGAAAAUGACUUUGCACCAAGAACAAAAAUAUGUGCCAUUGUGAUAUAUGCAUGAUUGGGCUGCAAGGGAAUGCAAGAUGUGUUAAGAAACAGUGACAUUUAUGACUUCAUUCUUCUCUAAGCAACGCCUAGAGUAGACAUAAAUUUUUACUUAUUUGUUUAGCUUCAAUCUGCAUGAGCCAAGCAACAACAAUUUCUCCAAAUGGGAUGGCUGCAGUCCCUCUUCUCUCCAUUGAAGAAGCUAUGGUUUCGCCUGCAUUCGAGUCAAAAAAAGAGAAGAGGGAUAUACAUUCUAUACGAGGAUGUCAAAUCUUGCCCUUGUGAAGAUGUUCAAGUGUUAUGGUCAAUACUAGUUGAGUCACAUACACCGUCUUUACAGCAAAAUGGAAGACCAUUUAAUUACUGAGCUCACAGAUGAAGAUAAAAAGAGAGUUUUCCAGUCAUGUGCAUAAUAUAUUUAUGAUGUUUUAUUGUCCUCCUAUGAGGUUUUUUUUUUUUUUUUUACUUUUGUGUUCUAGUUUGCUUCCUCAAGUGCCAUACCAUCUGAGUAAUUACAUAAUAGAAUUUCGGCAUCCUUCUAAUUUUCUUUCUUCUUUGCAAUUUCUCUUCUAAAUUAGCUGAAGGGUAGUUCUUCAUUUUGAAUUUGGCUGUAUAUUGUUUCUCUAUUUGAUCUUUAAUCCAACUCUAUAUAUAACUUACACAAGUUUAUAACUUAGCAUUUACUAUGCUAAAAGUGAUUGGGGAAGGUAUUCUUUUCUGAUA